AACCUAACCAAACUCCGAAUACCUGCGAGUGCUAUCUGGGAGACAGACGGCGGGUGCUAAGGUCCGUCGUCAAAAGGGAAACAGCCCUGACCUACAGCUAAGGUCCCCAAGUCACGUCUAAGUGGGAAAGCAUGUGGGAAUCCCAAAACAACCAGGAGGUUGGCUUAGAAGCAGCCAUCCUUUAAAGAAAGCGUAACAGCUCACUGGUCUAAACAAGGGUUCCUGCGGCGAAGAUGUAACGGGGCUCAAGACGUGCACCGAAGCUUAGGGUGUGGAUUUAU
rnacentral:rRNA from 1 species